GCCUAGUUAGCUUAAUAGUUGGUAGUGCGUCUGCCUUAUAAGCGCUAGGCCGCGGGUUCGAUUCCCGCCCGGGGCG
rfam:Asian citrus Psyllid, Diaphorina citri - Florida Strain, whole genome shotgun sequence.